rnacentral:rRNA from 2 species
GGACUACACGGGUAUCUAAUCCUGUUUGCUCCCCACGCUUUCGUGCAUGAGCGUCAGUGCAGGCCCAGGAGAUUGCCUUCGCCAUCGGUGUUCCUCCGCAUAUCUACGCAUUUCACUGCUACACGCGGAAUUCCAUCUCCCUCUGCCGCACUCUAGCUAUGCAGUCACAAAUGCAGUUCCCAGGUUGAGCCCGGGGAUUUCACAUCUGUCUUGCAUAACCGCCUGCGCACGCUUUACGCCCAGUAAUUCCGAUUAACGCUUGCACCCUACGUAUUACCGCGGCGGCUGGCAC